GGCGCUUGAGGCUUUUUGCCUCACGGAGUCGGUACGUGUUGUGAGGCAGAAAGAAGAAAGCCCCGAAGGUCAAUUUUCAUUAACCAACGAGGCUCACUCCGAUGUCCGACAACAUCAGGAUAGCCUCUUACCCGCCGCAAGGCAAGGAGAAGAAAGCUAU
rnacentral:antisense_RNA from 1 species